rnacentral:rRNA from 1 species
CCUACGGGUGGCAGCAGUGAGGAAUAUUGGUCAAUGGGCGCGAGCCUGAACCAGCCAAGUAGCGUGAAGGAUGACUGCCCUACGGGUUGUAAACUUCUUUUAUAAAGGAAUAAAGUGAGGCACGUGUGCCUUUUUGUAUGUACUUUAUGAAUAAGGCAUGGCUAACUCCGUGCCAGCAGCCGGGGUAAUACGGAGGAUCCGAGCGUUAUCCGGAUUUAUUGGGUUUAAAGGGAGCGUAGAGGGGUUGUUAAGUCAGGUGUGAAAGUUUGCGGCUCAACCGUAAAAUUGCAAUUGAUACUGGCAGUCUGGAGUGCGGUAGAGGUAGGCGGAAUUCGUGGUGUAGCGGUGAAAUGCUUAGAUAUCACGAAGAACUCCGAUUGCGAAGGCAGCUUACUAAGCUGCCACUGACGUUGAUGCUCGAAAGUGUGGGUAUCAAACAGGAUUAGAUACCCCAGUAGUC